rnacentral:rRNA from 1 species
CCUACGGGAGGCAGCAGUGGGGAAUCUUGCGCAAUGGGCGAAAGCCUGACGCAGCCAUGCCGCGUGAAUGAUGAAGGUCUUAGGAUUGUAAAAUUCUUUCACCGGGGACGAUAAUGACGGUACCCGGAGAGGAGGCCCCGGCUAACUUCGUGCCAGCAGCCGCGGUAAUACGAAGGGGGCUAGCGUUGCUCGGAAUUACUGGGCGUAAAGGGAGCGUAGGCGGAUGGUUUAGUCAGAGGUGAAAGCCCAGGGCUCAACCUUGGAAUUGCCUUUGAUACUGGCUAUCUUGAGUGUGGGAGAGGUAUGUGGAACUCCGAGUGUAGAGGUGAAAUUCGUAGAUAUUCGGAAGAACACCAGUGGCGAAGGCGACAUACUGGCCCAUUACUGACGCUGAGGCUCGAAAGCGUGGGGAGCAAACAGGAUUAGAUACCCUGGUAGUCCACGCUGUAAACGAUGAGUGCUAGUUGUCGGCAUGCAUGCAUGUCGGUGACGCAGCUAACGCAUUAAGCACCUCCGCCGUCGGGAGGUACGGUCGCGAAGAAGUUAAAACGUUAAAACGGUAAGUUAGUACGGCGUGAGACGUGCCGACGGACGACGACGAGGGAGGUUAGG